UUCUUUCACGAGAGUACUAGCUCCGUCGAAGGCUUUGGAUGGCUAAUCCAAGCUCCUUUCUUCAGAUCUCCUGAACUUAUCUGGAUCAAAAGAUGAAGCUUUAUGAGGAGAUGGUGGUGUAGAAGAUUGGACAAGACUCACUCUUGUAUUUUCUUCUCACAAAACCCAGAGUUGAAAUCCUAGAACCCACAGCUCAUGCCUGAGAGGAAGAACACUUCCUCUGUUUCUCACAC
rnacentral:lncRNA from 1 species